GCCCGCCUAGCUCAAUUGGUCAGAGCGUCAGACUUUUACGGCGGGCUGUCCCCUGUCAUCUGAAGGCUGCGAGUUCGACCCUCGCGGUGGGCU